UACAGAGGUCCCAAGCGUGUUCGGAUUCACUGGGCGUAAAGGGUGCGUAGGUGGUGAGGUAAGUCGGAUGUGAAAGCUCGGAGCUCAACUCCGAAAUGGCAUUGGAAACUACCUUGCUCGAGGGUUGGAGGGGGGACUGGAACUUGGUGUAGCAGUGAAAUGCGUAGAUAUCAAGCGGAACACCAGUGGCGAAGGCGAGUCCCUG
rnacentral:rRNA from 1 species